UAGGGAAUCUUCCGCAAUGGGCGAAAGCCUGACGGAGCAACGCCGCGUGAGUGAUGAAGGUCUUCGGAUCGUAAAACUCUGUUAUUAGGGAAGAACAAAUGUGUAAGUAACUAUGCACGUCUUGACGGUACCUAAUCAGAAAGCCACGGCCAACUACGUGCCAGCAGCCGCGGUAAUACGUAGGUGGCAAGCGUUAUCCGGAAUUAUUGGGCGUAAAGCGCGCGUAGGCGGUUUUUUAAGUCUGAUGUGAAAGCCCACGGCUCAACCGUGGAGGGUCAUUGGAAACUGGAAAACUUGAGUGCAGAAGAGGAAAGUGGAAUUCCAUGUGUAGCGGUGAAAUGCGCAGAGAUAUGGAGGAACACCAGUGGCGAAGGCGACUUUCUGGUCUGUAACUGACGCUGAUGUGCGAAAGCGUGGGGAUCAAACAGG
rnacentral:rRNA from 1 species